ACGAACCAACAAGGACAAAGUAAGAACUACAUCAUGGAACUGCUGCCAGCUUUUGGAAUGAACUUUGUGCCAAACUCUGCGUUGUUGCUGAUUUUCACGUGAUGGUUGUGGAAACACCCGGUUUUAUCAGAGCUGGCUUUGCUGAAGAUGCCUUGCAGGACUGCAGAAAGGGAAGCCCAGCUCUCCUCCAGCUCAACUCUGUCGCAUCUAGUACAGCUGAAACUAUACUAAAGGAAGGACAUGUCCAACUCCCUCUCCUGGGAGCAAGCUGAUGAGUGACAGUGUCAUGAAAUGGUUGCUGGCUGACCUCUGAGCUUGUGAGCACUGUGGCUCUGGACAGACGGAUAUCACAUCUUGACUGCUCUUGAGAUGUCCCAAAGUCUUCAGUUCAAAAGCCCCCUGAGCCCAGGGCUGCGUGCUACACUGAAACGUUCAAUCCUGCAUUUGAAUAAGCUGAAUCAAGCCAGCCAUACUGCUAAACAUAUGCAUGGAGACUUCCUACAUAAAUGAACGUUGCCCUUGUAGUCCAGUUGUUACUGCUUUGUGCUGAUAGUGAAAGACCCCAAAGAGAAUGGAGUAUAAGAUUUAAUGCUGUAACGUCAGCCAUCAGUCUGCCUCUGAUGUAUGGCUCCCGGUGAAUAUUCCAGCCCUGUCCGUCGUGCGGGAGCCCAGCAGAUGGAGCAGUGUUCCUGUGCAUGAGGAGGUGUGGGGCCGCAUCCGGAGCUGCGCUGUGCAGUCGAGCCGAUCUGCCCCAGUGCAUCUAUGAAGCACGGAAUAAAAGGCUCACUUGAUGGAACUGAGCUCUGCUGCUGUGCAAGCACAGCCCGGCCAGGUUAUGUGCUCUGUCUGCCCUUAACCACCUGCCCUGAAUCUCAGCUGGUGCACUCAGUGACUGCUAUCGCUGGCUGUGAAAGAACUCCUGUUCUGGGCUCAGUAUAUAGAAGCAAACCCCAACAGCACACAGAGGCAACAUUCCUGUAUGACACCCCCAUCAUCAAGCCCAGAUGCUCUGGUGGAGUGCAGAUGUCCCACAGAGGUCCAAUCUAAUGCACUGAAGUGACAGAGAAUCUGCUGCAUCCUCAGCAAUGAUAAAUAGCAGAUACACGAGCUGCCUGGCAGAGAAGCUGACAACUCUCCUGGGACUGACUGCACUGUCAAUGUUCCUUGAUGGGUCAUUGGGGUUUGGGUUCUAGUUAACAUCCCGCCCUCUUCAAGCAUCUCCUCUGGCUGCAGAGCCACUCCCUCGACCUUCUCAGUUACCGCUGUCAUCUCUGGUGUCUUUAAUUGUGCCUGAUGGGGUAUGAGCUUCAAUGCUAAUGUGCAUGGGUAAGAAGAUGAGGAAAGCUACUUUGCGAGGAUUCUCCUUUUGCUGCUCUGCAAUGAAACAGAGCAGAAAGAAGCAAUCUGAGUCCGGCCAAGGUUUUCCUUAAAUACCAACCUUGCUGUGUGGGAGGCUCUGAAUCAAUUGUAUUGUUUUGCUUCGGGGAAAGACUUGAACCUCAUACUUCACAUGGACACAAGUAACCACGUGCUUUUUAGCAAAUCACUGAAAUGAAGGCAAUCUUGUGGAAACACUGAAAGGUUAAGUAAAAACCCUGAGCACAUGUGCUUUAGUGCUUUGCUCUACACACACUACAAGGGCAAUUUUCCAACUGUAAAAAACAAACAAACAAAAAAAGACAAAAAAAAAAAAAAAGUAGAAAAGGUAUCCUGAGCAAUUUCCUUUUUAAAGGAUAAGAGACAAAAAUCAACCACAAGCAGAAUGAUGGCUGUACAGAAAAUACAUUUGCUGUUCAGAGAAAUACACAGAUUGUACUCUGAAGAGCUGAAAUCUUGAUGGACUUCCAGUUUGGCUCCAUCUAAGAUAAAAUUCUUGGAAAGAGAGUACAUUACAAAGGAGAUACUUGAAGGAAGGGUUAGAAGUCCUGCCAAAGACUUGGAGAACUGCUGUUUGCAGUCUGAUAUGAAUCCAGGCAAGAACCCACGAAUGCGUUUGGCUGCAAUUUCACUUCGUUUUUAAGUAGAAAAAGUUGCCCGUUAUCCUUCCAGGUAGCAGAUAAUGUCACCAGUUAUACACCUGGAAAGAUGAGGUAAGAGGGAUGGGGGGGGAGAGUUCUAAAAGCAUUUCCUAGUGAGAACUGUCUACAGGAGAAAGAUGUUUUGCACAGUGUCCUGGGUAAGAAAUGGCAAUGUCAUCACCUGUGGUAAUGCUGAAGGAAACAUUAUACUGUGUGCACAGCUUGCCAUGCAACAUUACUCAUUUGGAAAAAGGCUAUUUUUAAUCAAGAAAAAGCACUUUAAUCAAGGAUAGAGUCAGUGAUUCAAAAAUUUCAUGCAGGUGCAUGUAUUACUUGACUGAAAGCAUUUUCCCCAAAGGUCAGAGCUGCAGGGAGAUGUGCAUGUCCCAUUCCAGCAGUGGAGAUAACCUCAGGGUGCCCAUAUCAGCCUGAUGUAUUCUGGCUCUUGGCUCAGGGAGCCUCAAAGUCAGAACUUCCCGUGCUAAUCCUCUUAACUUUAAACAAAUAUUUGCCAUAGCCUAGGCACACUCAGUAAGAUUCAUGGCAUGCCAAAAAAGACACGUUUAUGUUAGGGAGGUUGAUUCAGUUUUUCUUUGUAUUUUUCCACCCGCGCAAAAGAAAUCAGCUGCAGGUCGUACAGCAUACGCAGAGCUGGUUCAGCAAACAGCAGGGACACAAGCAUGCCCCCAACUCCUGGGGAGCCCUUCCCUCCUUCUCACAUCUCUGGGAGCUGCAGGAAGAGCUCACAAUGGCCAGAACAGAGAACAGAUUUCUGCUUGGCAGGUGAAUGAGCGUAACCCAACAGCUCCUAUUGAGCAAACCUCCCCGCCUCUCCUCCCCACUCCCCAGCCCCACAACUCUCUGAAAUUAAAAAACAACACUCAAUCAGUGUUUCCUGGAGUAGCUUGUGCUCUGAGUCACUUUCUCCACUGACUGCGGGAAGAUUUUAAGAUUUCAAAUGUCAGAACUGACACAUGCUGCACACUGGAGGCAAACCCCUGCGGUUCCAAAGCCUGCUUGUGUACUUCCAGGAGCACUCAGGGACCCCUUGCCUGCCAGCAGACUUCCCUAGGACAGGGCUGUCUGCCUUCUCUUGGAUGCAGCUCCAUCCCCAGGACACUCUUUUCCUCCCAGGCACCCCUCUGAUGCUUCUUUAGCUUUCAGCCUGGCACACACAAGGCUACCUUGCCUCCAAGAUUGCCUCCCCGGGAUUUAAGUGGCCAAUACCAUCCAGUAAGUAGGCACUAAAAUAGGUUGAGGAAUAAAUUGCUCUCAUUUAACAUUCACUCUGAAAAAUAUGGCUGCAUUUAUUAUGCAGUAUAUUGUUUUAUAUACUGUUUUGUUAUAAUAAGUCAUGUUUAAAAUGUCAUGACAUUUAAAUCAACAGCAAUAAGAGGGAAAUACUGAAAAAGAACAAGAUCAAAAAGGAUUUGAAAAAAUCCGAGCAAAAUCUUAUGGACCAAACUCCAUGGUUAAAAUAAAGUGUUUGUUCCCAGGUGUGGUGGGCAGAGAGGUGCCACCACCAUUGGGGUGGUUGUGGUUGGCUAUGGCCAAGAGGCUCAGGCACUUGAGGCAAUGCCACCACAGUGCUCUGUGUCCCCCUCCUGGUUUGUCUGGGCUGUCCUUUGCCAUCGAGCCACCACAAUACCCUGAGUACGUCCUUAGAACUGGAUAAUGCCAUUUGUCUCAGUGAGGAGAGUUAUUUCAAUGCCUGUGCUAAGUUAUAUGAAUGAACUUUAUAUAAUAUAGUAUAAAAGCUUACUUUAAUGUGGCUUCAUAGCCUUUGAGGAAACACAGAGCCUGUCAACCACCGGUGAUUUACAUGCAUAAUGGCAGAUUUUCACUACAAAGACUUUGAUGUUAAAAAAAAAAAAAAUAACUUGGAUCAGAGGAGCUACUGUGUUACUGCAGAUUUGUGCUCAUCUUUCUAUCAGAUCUGAACCCGUAUGGAGCAUCCCUUGCUGCUGCCUCGGUGCAUCCUCAUCCCCUGCCAAGGGGAACAACAACAACAACUGCAACAACAAAACAGAUGGUGAUGCAGUGAAACAUUAAACCCAGUCCCAAUACCUGAGCCAUACCAUGAAUAUUUCACUGAGGCAGAGGGUAGAAAAGACAACAAAAUGAUCUUUUCUAGCAUCUUAAGGGAUGUCUAACCUUGUAAUUGCUAUAGACACAGAGGACACACAAGAUGGAGACCAAGACUACUUAAAAGCUGUGUGUAUUUUCUAAAAAUUAGUAACUCAAUGUUCCCACUACAACCUGCCAAUAUGAAUGACAUUCACUCUUGCUCUGAGGAAUGAAAGAAACUCUGAGAGACAGACUGCAUUAAGAAUCUAUUGAUAUUCCACUGACCUAGUGCCACACGAACCAGACAAGUUUUGUCAAGGGCAAAUGCCCCAGAGUCUGAAAAUUCAUUUCUUAAAGUGGCAGCAAAGGAAAAAAGAAAUAUAUAUGUAUCCUUUACUGUCUAGAAUACUUACAAAAUCAAGUGUAGGCUUGCAUUGUCCUGAUACUGCAACAGCAGUAUAUGACACUAGACCCAGAUACGUGAACAGAACUGAAGAUAUCAGAUGGUCAAUAACCUCUUCCAGUUUUCCAAGCAAGUUACUACUGCCACAAAGCUUAAAUGGGAUGUUCCCUUAAGAAGUAUCACAUGGGUUUUAACCUAGUUUACUUCAUCUUACUACACAAACUUCACAAAGCUAAGUCAUCCAUGGUCAAAGACUUUCCUUUGCAAGGGAUGGAUGCAGAAGUCAUGAGCUGUGCAGGAGGUUCCCAUGGCACCUUGUACUGAUGGGGCACCCAGAACAAAGGAACUGAAAGGAGAGUGAGAAAUGACUCAGUACUGUCCAGGCAGGCUUCUUCAUCCCCCAACAUAAACCUCUGAACUCAUACACUAAAUCAAAUGAGAACAAAAAGUCACAGGCAAGGGACACAACACAGAAGCAACACAAGAACCCCUAGUUGUUUGGUUUUUUUCUUAGUGAAGCUGAGCCUGGGAUAGCAGUGGCUUUUUCAAGGGGUGGAGGAGCGCAGGCUGCCUUUAUUCGAGGAGGAGGAAUAUAUUUGCUCCUCUUUCAAGCUGCAAUGCUGGCCCUUCUGUUCAAAUUCUUUUUUCUGGGGGGAGGGAGACCACAGCUAUACCCACGUGAGCCCCAUGCUGAAGAGUGGGGAUGGCAUUAUAGCCUGGGAAUAUAAAAUGCUGUAAUAGAUUUCAGUGAACGGACUGAAUUUGGGGAAAAUUAAUUUUAGCUGGAUACAUUGUGCAGUUAAUUAAGGCUGAUAGCUUCCACUAGAAGAAAAGAGUUUUUGAUGAAAAUACAUUGAAAAGUCUUAUUAAACUGCCUAGUAAAAAAUCAGUUGCCACAGCCUGUGCUGCAUCUUCCCAGACACCUCCAUGUUUCUAUACAGAAAUCCUGUACUGAUACCAUUUGCAUAACAAUAUUUAAUAUGCAGAUUUGAGUAUCAUUGCUUUUGGACAGAAUUAAUGUUCCAACCUUUGAGCACACCCAUUUUAGAAAUAUUCAUCUUGAAAACUCGCUGGAACUUAUAUGCAGCACUGGUGUGAGCGCUGCUCCUGGGAGCCUCAUGGGUGAGGUGGGCACGUAAACAUGGAAGGGUAGAAGGCAGAGAGGACGCGAAGAUGGGAAAAGCAACCAAAAUACUCCCACUUUUCAGAGAUGAAGUAACUUUUUGUUUUCAGUUCAUUUUGUUCACGCCUUAGGAAAUGAUGAGAUCAACAGAAAGGAAAGCAAUUUCCAGCCGAAAUGAACAUAGCUCGUGGCUCAACUGAGAAGAGGUGCAUAUUUUUCCAAAAGCUCCAUUCCAAUACGUGCAGAUCAAAUACCCCGAGAACAGACCUAGCAUGAGCUUGCAUCAUGUCAGUUUGCCAGUCUGGGAAUUUGCAGGUUUUCUACUUGUUCCUGAGGAAGCCAAUUGGGAAAACAGGUUGUACUGCCACAUCACGUGGUGGAAUUGCAAAAUCAUUUUAUUCAUUUAGAUACAAUUCAAAGUCAGGCCAGGGUAUCUUGGUAGCAGAACUACUACAGAAGGCCUACUACUCCAUUCUUCUCUCCCAUAAGCCUUUCCCUUUUUUAGCGAGCCUUACAUCAAAACUCCCAGGAGGCAUAUUCUGUGUUCCCAGGGCUUAUCCUGUGCAUGUUCUAAUGUGUACAAAGGUGCCCAAGCUUUCCUCAUUCACACCCGUAAGCAUUAUUAUAUUACAUUUAAUUGCAGAAGACAUUGUCUUAACAGCUUUAUUUCUUAUAUGACAUCUCGUGAAUUGCCUUUAAGAAAAGCCAUUUACAAGACUUCUCUAUAUAUGUAAACUAGUAUUCUAAUGUCACAUUCUUGUUUGCACGUAACCUUGUAGUCACGUCAGCUAAUCAAAAUGCAAAAAGCAAGUGGCCCUUCACAGACUUCAGUUAGGAAACAGUGGCACGGGUUUUCAUAAAACAAAAGUGUUUGACUGAUACUGUGUAAAAUCUGUUCUGCUGGAAAACCGGCAUCUUGCCCGUCAUCUUCUACAAAGUUCAGUAUUUUUGUCAGUGCUCAUCUCCUUGACUUCUUAAUUGUCUGUGUUCACUGACUGUAUCAAAUGGAGUUUUCCUUUGCCUUUGCUCACUAUGUAUUACAUCUUUUAAUCGGUAUAUAUAAUUACUUACCACAAUCUGCCAUGCCAGAUUUUCUAAGCAUUAGUCUAAUUAACUUAAGCUUGAUAAUUAUGUUUCAGAUAUCAUAACAGUACACACAGAACUUGCAGAUUAUGCUGUUAGCUUAGCUGUUUCUGAUAAUGAUUUUCUCCUAUUCUUAUUUUCACUUUUCUUUUUGUACAGGGUGGGAGCACAGGGGGCAAUAGAAGCUGCUACUCUGUCUAAGCAACUGGAGGUUUCCAUGAAAGCAAAAUCAGGCUGUUUAUAAUAACAAAUCAUCAAAUAAGGCAACACAAAUGAGAACAGAUCCAAAAGGAGAGGAUUUCAUCUACUUAUAAAAGUAGAACGUCAGUGAAAGAAGAAACCUGAGCUUCCAACAGCACAAAUCAUAGAGGAUUCAGACACAGUCUUGCAGCACUUAUGGCCUAUUACAGAAGUACUCAGACUUUCCACAGGUCUCCAGCCCAAGCUAUUCUAAUUAUACGCCUGUUGGCGACAGCAUGCCACCAGGGAGGCAAUAAAUAAGUGAUAACAUGCAUGGGACCUGGCACACAUACCUAGCCAGCACAGAAAGAUCAUCCCUCACAAAGUGAUGUGGGCCAUCUGGGCAUAUGAAAUAUGCAAGCCUGAGACCCCGAGUAACAGUAAAUAGAUGCAGAGAACACUUAUGUCACAGUAAUAAAGGAAAACAAAAGAAAUCA